rnacentral:rRNA from 1 species
GAUGAACGCUGGCGGCGUGCCUAAUACAUGCAAGUCGAGCGAACGGACGAGAAGCUUGCUUCUCUGAUGUUAGCGGCGGACGGGUGAGUAACACGUGGAUAACCUACCUAUAAGACUGGGAUAACUUCGGGAAACCGUAGCUAAUACCGGAUAAUAUUUUGAACCGCAUGGUUCAAAAGUGAAAGACGGUCUUGCUGUCACUUAUAGAUGGAUCCGCGCUGCAUUAGCUAGUUGGUAAGGUAACGGCUUACCAAGGCAACGAUGCAUAGCCGACCUGAGAGGGUGAUGGGCCACACUGGAACUGAGACACGGUCCAGACUCCUACGGGAGGCAGCAGUAGGGAAUCUUCCGCAAUGGGCGAAAGCCUGACGGAGCAACGCCGCGUGAGUGAUGAAGGUCUUCGGAUCGUAAAACUCUGUUAUUAGGGAAGAACAUAUGUGUAAGUAACGGUGCACAUCUUGACGGUACCUAAUCGGAAAGCCACGGCUAACUACGU